rnacentral:lncRNA from 1 species
CCACCAUUACCAAAUUUUAUUUUUACAAAAUUUCAAGUAAAAAAGAUACCGUUAGCUCCAACCUUCACACUUCUUGUCUGCUUUCCUUGGUGUCAAUACUUACUACCGUGUUAUGUCGUACAUAGCGGUAUAAAGUAACCGACUACGUAAUCCACGAAACAAGGUGACGUCACAUUUUGUGGGCACACGAAUGGGUGAUGAUUGCAAAUGGCUUCCGUAAACAAACGUUUCAUUCAUGAGUGGAAUAUUCGGCAUUUUUAGUUUGCUGAAUCAAUGAAUAAAAUAAUCAGUGAGUAUACAGAAUGAAAUCAUGCAUUUAAAAUAUGAAUUUCGACGCACUUCCCUUAUAUCCACGAAUCAAGGUUAUGCGAGUGUAUAUGAUUUACUAUGAAUUGUCAUAAUCAUAAUGAUUUACCUUAAGAAUUGUCAUAAAUUUCAUAUUGACUUGAAGUAAGUCAUAAUUGAUAUUAUGAGACUGUGUUUCAUUAAAGUGGGUGUUUUGUUUGGGGUGAUGUUCUGUCAGAUGUUGAACCGGUAGUUAGAACAUUGGUUUAGUAUGCUAUCCUUGAAUUCCACUGUCAUGUGUAGAUCCUAACAGUUUCUGUGGGACUUUCAGCCUUGAGUACUGAUAGACGGCCUACUAGGAACACAGUUGUACCCUGAAAAACAGAUCAAGUAUGAUUUGUCAUUCAAUGGGUAUUCUGACCGUGCGGGAAAUUUACCUUCAUCCUUUCUGAUAUACACAAUCAAAGUUAAAAUAAUGUCAAUUUCACAAACUUUCUCGUUAAAUAUUGUUCAAGUGAUUUCUUUACACAAACUUGUGAUGAAGUUUUCUGCUGCCAUCUACAAUGUAGAACUUGUUGUUGUGAUGUGAAAAUAGCAUUGAUUGCUAAUUAGAUGUUGAAUCAUGUUAUUGUCUUGAAAUAAUGUUCCUGUGGGUCGAGCUUUAACAUGUUUAAGAAAAUGCAAGUUUUGCAUGAUGUUAAAUGUAUUAUCACUCGAAAGUGAAGAACUUUCCCAGUAUCUGCAAAGGUGCGUUUUUCUGUGAAAAAUCAUGCUGGACAACUUGCUGUUUGUCUUCACAAAUCAUGUGCGUUGAUUGUAAUACUGGUAGUCUUGAGCUUGUUAGUUAGAUCAAGAACAUGUUUCUUGAAGGUACUUUCUGAGAACUGAUUGUUUUGCAUUCUGUAUUUGUGUUCAAGUACCCACAAUAACUCUGCUAAUGAUCUUCUCCCAAUACCAGUAUCAAUAUGGUCAAUCUUCUCAAUGUAAAUCUGAUUUUAAUAUUUUUAUCAACAGUGACUCCAGAUAUGUGAGAUGAUCCAAACCAAUUUCACUUUAAUCCCUUUGUAUUUGCAUCUGUUAUUGGAAAUAAGACACGGACAUGCCAUAGAUGCAGCGUAAACCAGCAACUCUUCAUCUGUUGCCAUGGUUACUGCACAGGUGUUUGAAUGUACCUCAGUGACAAAUAAGUGUUAUGCUGUAUGGUAACAGUUCCUGAAAUGAGUAAGCUGUGUGUUAGAAUGUAGACACAUCAGCAGACACAUGGGGCAGCCUGUUGGCCUCAGACAUGUGGACUUCCUGGGCAGUUUUUAUACACCAUCGUAUUUGUUUGACCCACUUCAGAUAUCACCAUGACCUCUCUGACAGGGUGCCUACAUCCUGGAAGGCAGUCAUUUUCAUUUCAAUUUGUCUGUGUGAUGCUUACCUUUCUGGCAAAUUUAAGAGUGUCUUUAUUUACAUUAGUUAUGACAAAAAGGUUCACAGAUGAAUCUUUUUGAAUAUGUCGAAAGUAUACGUGUAAAGGAAGAUGAUGCAGAUAAUCCCAAAAGUGGAAAUGCAGCAUGAUGUAUUACAGGUAUCACCUUGUUUACUAUUGACAUUUGGGGUUGCGGCUACACAUAGUUCUGUCCUGCUGUAGUUGCCAUGGUGAUGACCCACAUUUGUGUCCUGGUGGAGUUUCCUAUAGCUGUGUACUAAAUGUAUGUCCGUCCUGUGGAACAUAGGAGUAAGUAGGGUCGGGGGGAGGGGGAUGGAGACAAGGGUACAAGGAAAAUCUUGUGGGGUACAGAAGUCUGAUGGUAGGGUGGGCAGGUGAUGAUCAGACACAUCAGGACCAACAUGGUAUCCAGUGUAAAGUAUAUUGAGAUGCUUUAAAAGAUCCUGUGUGAUUCAACAGAUACUACUUCCCUAAAAACCGAUCCAGGAUUGUGCUGACAAAACUAGCCCCCAGAGGAUUUGUUAUUUUUGCUAACAGUUGUGGCUAACAUAUGAAGAUCAAACACACACAGCUCUGGAUCUUCUGGGAUAUAGCUCUUGAACCUUGCUCAUCAUUUUAACCUUUUUAGCAGAAUGGCUGAGUUAAAUGCAGGAUUCAGCAUUGAUGGAUUCAUGUCCAGUGAUGGCUUCCUGAUACCAGGGUAACGAGGGAGGCUUGAACGUAUGUCCUGGUGAUCUCAAAUAAUUACACUUUAUGUGGUACUCGUCUUUGCUACAUGUGCUUAUUUUCUGUGUAUGAAUGAGAAGUUCCACUGCAGAUUCUGUGCAACAUUCAAAAAAUCUGUUCAGUGUUGCUACGCUCUUCAGUACGUCUUGAUUAACACCAUGUGUGAGGCUGGAGUCGACCGUGUUUACGGUAUAUUCAGAUGUUUCCUUGUCUCUACCUACAACGUUAGUGCUUAUCAUGAUGAAUGGUCAUUGCAUUGUAUGUGACUCAUACUUAAGGGUCAUGUUGUUUCACGUCUUCCGUAGUUAUUAGGAAGACUGGUCUGAUAAUUUUUUCAGUUUUCCACAUUGCCUUUUAAGAAGCAGAAAGUGCAAUAGAAGAAUCAUUUAACUGAGGUUAAAUUCCUUAAAGACUUGACAGUGAGGUUCGACACAGAUUCCAACAAAAACUUGUUGAAAAAUACCACAGUUUUCAACCAUUUGGAUGACUCUUAUUGUUUUGGUUGACUGACUUGUAAAACAGAAAAAUCAAUUAUCUGACUUAAUUAUGAAAACUGUCAUCCCCAGACCCAGUCUUGGACUUUUCCAAUAUGCCAUAAACUUUUAGAAAGUAGAUACAGGAUUUGUAUGUAAGAAGUUCCUAUGUCUCAGCUUUCAGGUAUCACAUUAUUUGGUGAUUGUUAUUUCAUAUAUAGGAUGUAUUAGCUAUUGACGCAAAUUUUGUCGGAAUUCUUAUUUCGAAUCCAAAGUUUGUGUUCAGUUCCCUUGUGCUAACGUUGAAUGUUUGUUGAAUGUUAUUUUAUGUCAUUGACUUGAUCAUAUCUAAGGGAGACAAUAAGAUUAUUCAUAAAUCAUGGAGUUAUCUCCCAUACCUGAAAUGUACAACGCUUUGUUCAUCAGCAGUUGUCUUGAUGCCCCACAAUUGAGCGGUUAUAAAACUUGUCUCAUCUGUGGCAUCAAGCAGUAUGUCACCUGUCAGGUGAUCGUCGUGAGUACCUCGAUUUGAGGCGUUUUAACAUUGCCAUGGUGUUGUGGCUGGUUAGGUGUUUUCUGCCUUGAAUAUCUAAAAAUGUACUCAAAUGUCUCAAUUUUGUAGUAUUUGACACUUAUCAGCAUGGAAACUAUUGAAGACGAAGCUGUUACGAUUUAACAGAAGUGUGAAGUAUGACCUGUGGUGUGAAUAAUCCUGCUUCAGUUGUCCAGUUUGCUUGUGUACGUCAUGAACUAUAUAUCACAUAAAUCAUGGAGUAGUCACG